UGUGAUCAAUAUGCAUGGGCAAAAAUAUUUAGUGUCCAUAUAAAAAACUAAAGCCAUUUUAGCCAAUAAUCUAAAUUGAAUAGACAAAAUCCAUUUAACUUCCCACUUUAGACAUAGCUAUGUGAGAAUUGUCUUGUGAGAUAGUGCAGCUUAAAUGAUUCCUUGCAAAUGAGUUGCCAAGAACCAAGUAAUCAGCAUACUGGG
rnacentral:misc_RNA from 1 species